rnacentral:rRNA from 1 species
GAUGAACGCUGGCGGCGUGCCUAAUACAUGCAAGUCGAGCGAACAGAUGAGGAGCUUGCUCCUCUGACGUUAGCGGCGGACGGGUGAGUAACACGUGGAUAACCUACCUAUAAGACUGGGAUAACUUCGGGAAACCGGAGCUAAUACCGGAUAAUAUAUUGAACCGCAUGGUUCAAUAGUGAAAGACGGUUUUGCUGUCACUUAUAGAUGGAUCCGCGCCGCAUUAGCUAGUUGGUAAGGUAACGGCUUACCAAGGCGACGAUGCGUAGCCGAGCUGAGAGGGUGGUCGGCCACCUUGGAGCUGAGACACGGUCCAGACUCCUGCGGGAGGCAGCAGUAGGGAAUCUUCCGCAAUGGGCGAGAGCCUGACGGAGCAACGCCGCGUGAGUGAUGACGGUCUUCGGAUCGUAAAACUCUGUUAUUAGGGAAGAACAAAUGUGUAAGUAGCUAUGCACGUCUUGACGGUACCUAGUCAGAAAGCCACGGCUAACUACGUG